rnacentral:rRNA from 1 species
UACAGAGGUCUCAAGCGUUGUUCGGAUUCAUUGGGCGUAAAGGGUGCGUAGGCGGCGCGGUAAGUCGGGUGUGAAAUCUCGGAGCUUAACUCCGAAACUGCAUUCGAUACUGCCGUGCUUGAGGACUGGAGAGGAGACUGGAAUUUACGGUGUAGCAGUGAAAUGCGUAGAUAUCGUGAGGAAGACCAGUGGCGAAGGCGGGUCUCUGGACAGUUCCUGACGCUGAGGCGCGAAGGCCAGGGGAGCAAACAGG